rnacentral:rRNA from 1 species
ACCACAACGAGGUGGAGCCGUGUACGGUUUAUACGGUACUCAACGCCGGGAAACUCACCAGAUAAGACAGCUGAAUGAUAGUCGGGCUGAAGACUCUACUUGACUAGCUGAGAGGAGGUGCAUGGCCGUCGUCAGUUCGUACUGUGAAGCAUCCUGUUAAGUCAGGCAACGAGCGAGACCCACGCCAACAGUUGCCAGCUCGUCCUCCGGGAUGGUGGGGACACUGUUGGGACCGCCUCUGCUAAAGAGGAGGAAGGAAUGGGCAACGGUAGGUCAGCAUGCCCCGAAUUAUCUGGGCUACACGCGGGCUACAAUGGGUGGGACAAUGGGUAUCGACACCGAAAGGUGAAGGCAAUCUCCUAAACCCAUCCGUAGUUCGGAUUGUGGGCUGCAACUCGCCCACAUGAAGCUGGAAUCUGUAGUAAUCGUGUCUCAAAAUGGCACGGUGAAUAUGUCCCUGCCCCUU